rfam:Triticum urartu cultivar G1812 contig1009075, whole genome shotgun sequence.
UUUAUACUCCCUCCGUCCCAAAAUUCUUGUCUUAGAUUUAUCUACAUACAGAUGUAUCUAGUCACAUUUUAGUGUUAGAUACAUCCGUAUCUAGACAAAUCUACGACAAGAAUUUUAGGACAGAGGGGGUACAUC